rnacentral:rRNA from 1 species
AAUCAACGCUGGCGGCGUGCCUAACACAUGCAAGUCGAACGCGAAAGUGGAGCAAUCCAUGAGUAGAGUGGCAAACGGGUGAGUAACACGUGGGUGACCUGCCUUCGAGUGGGGGGAUAACGUUUCGAAAGGAACGCUAAUACCGCAUAACAUGCUGUCUUUUAACAGAUGGACAUCAAAGCCGGGGACCGCAAGGCCUGGCGCUUGAAGAGGGGCCCGCGCCUGAUUAGCUAGUUGGUGGGGUAAUGGCUCACCAAGGCAACGAUCAGUAUCCGGCCUGAGAGGGCGGACGGACACACUGGGACUGAGACACGGCCCAGACUCCUACGGGAGGCAGCAGUGGGAAUGUUCGCAAUGGGCGCAAGCCUGACGACGCAACGCCGCGUGGAGGAUGAAGAUCUUCGGGUCGUAAACUCCUUUCGAUCGAGACGAAUGGCCCUUGGGCUAAUACCCUGAGGGAGUGACGGUACCGAGAGAAGAAGCCCCGGCUAACUCCGUGCCAGCAGCCGCGG